AGUAAACAACUCAUUUUAUGCCUGGGAAGAUAAAGGUCCAGGAAGGCCAGGAUAAUGGAAGCACAUGCCAGGAUUAAAACUUUUACCAACCUGGAUCUCUGAGGACCUAAGGUGAAGAGAAUCCCUUUGCUGACACAUAAUGGACAUUUUAUUUCUGAAUGAACCUGCCUGUCCCGCCAGUUGGAACUUUGGCUGCCUCAAGGUGGCAGUGUGGUAUCACACGUGGAAAGCAGGUGGCCACACGUGAUCUGUUUGGAGCAUCCUCACAGGAGUUUGCACCUAUACUUGCAAUCGCAUCCUGUACUCUGCAACUGCGUGAGUCUGGGUAACUUUUCUUCUGGCAUGAUAAUCUGA